UGGAGCCUGUGUACUUCGUCCUGUCC
rnacentral:piRNA from 1 species